GAUGAACGCUAGCUACAGGCUUAACACAUGCAAGUCGAGGGGCAGCAUAUUUAUAGCAAUAUAAAUGAUGGCGACCGGCGCACGGGUGAGUAACACGUAUCUAACCUGCCGUUUACUCGGGGAUAGUCUUUCGAAAGAAAGAUUAAUACCCGAUGGUAUAUAUUGAUUUCAUGGUCUUUAUAUUAAAGAAUUUCGGUAAACGAUGGGGAUGCGUUCCAUUAGGCAGUUGGCGGGGUAACGGCCCACCAAACCUACGAUGGAUAGUGGUUCUGAGAGGAAGGUCCCCCACAUUGGAACUGAGACACGGUCCAAACUCCUACGGGAGGCAGCAGUGAGGAAUAUUGGUCAAUGGGCGUAGGCCUGAACCAGCCAAGUAGCGUGAAGGAUGACUGCCCUAUGGGUUGUAAACUUCUUUUAUAAGGGAAUAAAGUGGAGUAUGUAUACUCUUUUGUAUGUACCUUAUGAAUAAGGAUCGGCUAACUCCGUGCCAGCCGCCGCCGUAA
rnacentral:rRNA from 1 species